GGUCAGAACGAACGCUGGCGGCAGGCCUAAGUCAUGCAAGUUGAACGGCUGUAGCAAUACAGCAGUAGCGGACGGGGUGAGUAAUGUAUGGGAACGUAUCUUCUAGUGGGGAAUAUUCUUUGGAAACGAAGAGCAAUACCGCAUAAGUCCUACGGGAGAAAGUCGCAAGACGCUAGAUGAGCGGCCCAUAUUGGAUUAGCUAGUUGGUUAGGUAAUGGCUGACCAAGGCAACGAUCCAUAGCUGGUCUAAGAGGACGAUCAGCCACAUUGGGACUGAGACACGGCCCAGACUCCUACGGGAGGCAGCAGUCAGGAAUAUUGGACAAUGGGGGCAACCCUGAUCCCAGCCAUGCCGCGUGAGUGUUAAGGUCUUCGGAUUGUAAAGCUCUUUUGUGUGGGAAAAUGAUGAUGGUACCACAAGAAUAAGCACCGGCUAACUUCGUGCCAGCCGCAGC
rnacentral:rRNA from 1 species